GUACCCAUGGUGUAGUGGUUAUCACAUCCUCCUAACACGUGGAACAUCCCAGGUUCGUAACCUGGUGGGUACA
rnacentral:tRNA from 1 species